AUUGAACGCUGGCGGCAGGCCUAACACAUGCAAGUCGAACGAGCGGCGGACGGGUGAGUAAUGUAUGGGGAUCUGCCUGAUAGAGGGGGAUAACUACUGGAAACGGUGGCUAAUACCGCAUACUAUCGGAUGUACCCAGAUGGGAUUAGCUAGUAGGUGGGGUAAAGGCACACCUGGGCGACGAUCUCUAGCUGGUCUGAGAGGAUGAGCAGCCACACUGGAACUGAGACAAGGUCCAGACUCCUGCGGGAGGCAGCAGUGGGGAAGAUUGCACAAUGGGCGGAAGCCUGAUGCAGCCAUGCCGCGUGUAUGAAGAAGGCCUUAGGGUUGUAAAGUACUUUAAGCUGGGAGGCGUUACCCGCAGAAGAAGCACCGGCUAACUCCGUGCCAGCAGCCGCGGUAAUUC
rnacentral:rRNA from 1 species